rnacentral:lncRNA from 1 species
UGUUGACGAUGAGGCGGUCGAGCUCCUCGAGAAGGCGAGGUUCUCCAGAAAUCCGCUAUUCCACUCUCGAUCCGACUACCCAAAGGUGGCCAUCGGGCCAAGCGCGGGCCAAGGCCCACAAGCCCGGCUUUAUACGGGCCGGGCCGGCCCCAUAAACGCCUCCUGCCUGCCCAGGCACAGCCCGAAGCCCCACCAGGCCGGGGCAAGGCCCCUCAGGCCAAAGGUAUAAAAAUAAAAGGAAGAUUUGAUUUGGGCCAAAACUAGUUGAGUUGAUGGGCAAAAUGUAAAAAUAAUUUAGGUUGCGUCAGAUUUUAGAGAGUUGAUGGCCCAACCGAAAGAAAUCAAGAAAAAGAAAAUCGGGCGGUAACGGGCCGGCCCACGGGCUUGUCGAUGACGCCCAGGCACCAGCACCAGUCCGCGAUUAAGUAUGUGCGGGCCCAGCCCGAGUCAGGCCUAGCAUGCUGGGGUCCCGGGCUUUUUGUUGGGCCGGGUCAGAUGGCCACCUAUAACCAGACCCUCAUCCUUUGGAAGAAAAACAAAAAACAAAUGAAAAGGAGUCCUUGGGCCAACCCUGGCAUGAUUCUCUCGUAGAGUAAAUUAAAAAAAACCACCACAUUAGGUGUUAGGGUUUCACUUUGGUGCCAGUUUACGUUUUAGUUGAUAAAAACCAUCGAAUUAGACUAAGCAUGCGGUUGCUAGCGAAUAAUCGUGAAACUGAAAGGAUGGGCCACCGCUCAGGCCACCGUGCCAAUCCAACUGAACAACAAUCCCAAUGAGCACUCGAGCACUACCCCGCUCUUCCUGGACAUUGCGCACGCCCCCAACCUCGUCUUCCUCGUCUCCGUCGGAUCCGCUCACCCGCCGCCUCCCCGACCCUCGCGCGUC